GUUAGUUUCCAUUGCUAUUUUCGUUAUUCAUCCCCGCUCUAUUUUAUAACGGAGGCCACAUCACGGUCGGUUGGCCGCGGGCCAAAUCUACCGGAAAUGAGGUGAAUAGUUACGUGACACAUGUAGCGUCCACCGUUCCUUUUCGGAAGAUUCCGAUUCGGUAGUCUACCGUAUGACGUUCGAACGCCUGUGUCAUUCGAGAAGUAUGUUUUCUACCAUUCUUAUCUAGCCGUAAACAUUUUUCUCAUAAGAGUAAGCGAUGGUCGUUCUUGCGUUUGCUACUUUUCUAAACCUUCCUUUCGAAAUUCUAGAUUUUUUCGAUCAACUGCCUGUCAUCAACAUUUCACUGCCCUGCACCAACGAUUCGAUUCCAUUAAUCGAUAAAUUUUAUUAUUAUUUUGUUAAUAAAUCCGAGAAAGACAAUUUUUUUCCGGAACAGGAUAUUCUACGCUACUAUUCAUGAUCUUUAUCA
rnacentral:lncRNA from 1 species